rnacentral:rRNA from 1 species
AUGAACGCUGGCGGCGUGCCUAAUACAUGCAAGUCGAGCGAACAGACGAGGAGCUUGCUCCUCUGACGUUAGCGGCGGACGGGUGAGUAACACGUGGAUAACCUACCUAUAAGACUGGGAUAACUUCGGGAAACCGGAGCUAAUACCGGAUAAUAUAUUGAACCGCAUGGUUCAAUAGUGAAAGACGGUUUUGCUGUCACUUAUAGAUGGAUCCGCGCCGCAUUAACUAGUUGGUAAGGUAACGGCUUACCAAGGCAACGAUGCGUAGCCGACCUGAGAGGGUGAUCGGCCACACUGGAACUGAGACACGGUCCAGACUCCUACGGGAGGCAGCAGUAGGGAAUCUUCCGCAAUGGGCGAAAGCCUGACGGAGCAACGCCGCGUGAGUGAUGAAGGUCUUCGGAUCGUAAAACUCUGUUAUUAGGGAAGAACAAAUGUGUAAGUAACUAUGCACGUCUUGACGGUACCUAAUCAGAAAGCCACGGCUAACUACGUG